rnacentral:rRNA from 1 species
AUUGAACGCUGGCGGCAGGCUUAACACAUGCAAGUCGAGCGAGCGGCGGACGGGUGAGUAAUGUCUGGGAAACUGCCUGAUGGAGGGGGAUAACUACUGGAAACGGUAGCUAAUACCGCAUACCAUCAGAUGUGCCCAGAUGGGAUUAGCUAGUGGGUGGGGUAAUGGCUCACCUAGGCGACGAUCCCUAGCUGGCCUGAGAGGAUGACCAGCAAAAUUGGAACGGGGCAACGGUCAGGACUCCAACGGGAGGAAGAAGGGGGGAAUUUUCGAAAAUGGGGGAAAGCCUGCUGCAGCAAGGCCGCGUGUGUGAAGCAGGCCUUCGGGUUUAAAAGCACGUUAAGCGAGGCGGCGGUACUCGCAGAAGAAGCACCGGCUAACUCCGUGCCAGCAGCCGCGGUAAUUC